GCCCUUACACAUAGUCCAUGGGGUUUUUUGGUCGAAACUAUCAAAAAGAAUGAGAAAACUAUGUUGCAGCCCACCAGAAUGGCAGUUUUUAUAGCACGAAACUUAAAUCACAUGUUUUAUGACCUGUCAAGUAGCCUACGAGCCAGACAUGUGGCCGCUUCAUCCAUCUAGUGUCCUUCUCCCCAAAAAUGAGGGGUCGUGGGAGCAAACUGUCCCUGAAGACAAAGAGCAAACCAGAGCUGGGGGCUGAAGAGCUGAAGUCUUCAGGAGUGCAGUGCCCAAGACCUCCUCCUGGUCACCUUCUCUUUAGCAGUAUAGGCAUCCCCAAAAAUACCUAUAGCUCUUGCUGCAGAGCCUCCCCGGGCCAUAGUGCGGAAGGAGUGAUCGGCAGUCAGAGCUGGUGGAGAAUGUUCUUUGUCUUGUGAAAAUGUGGGAUGUGGAAAAUCCCGUCCCAAAUGGCAGUGAAGAUUUGGCUUUCAGUGUUUUCCAUAGCAAACAUAAAAAUAUCUUAGAUAAAUGCUGUGCUUCAGUGUUAGCCACUUCAUACUUUUUUUAAAAAUUUAUUCAGUUUCACUGCACUAAGAGGACUUUUUCACCUGAAAUCAAAAUGCUUUGCAGACUCCUCAACAUUCCUGUGAAGCACAAAGAAAAUAAAUAAUUUCCUUUGAUGUAAGUUGAAAUGCUUGUGAAUCAGUAUGGUUUUUUCAGGAGAAAGUUUGCUAAAAAUUCCCAACCAGCCUUUUUCUCUUUUCCACUUCCCCUCUUUUCUUUGUAGAUGACCAACAUGUGGAAAGGCAGUGAGACUCCCACUAGAGAUUUCUUGCUGCAUUUUUCAUGAGGAAUUCACAGGGGGAGGCCGAUACUCUAAGAGAUGAGCUGCUUCACUUUGGUUGGUGCUCUAGGAAGCACAGUUCACUAUUAAAAGUACAAAGUAGAGUUGGGGAGCUGAAAGAAAGGAUGGAGAGAGAGGGUGAAAGUACUGCUGAAUACUGGUUAAAAGCAUUAGAAACUGUUAAAAGAAUUUGGCAAGCUGACCCCCAGCUUUAACCUUUAAUCACCUACUUCUACCCCUGCAGAAAGGCAAAUUUAUGUGAAAAGGGUGGUGAGUCUGUCUGGGCUGGUUUCUGAAACGUGGUGAGCAAGGGCGCUCAGCUUUAAAACCGUAGGACUUGUAUGCAUAAGCAUGUAUUUCACCCUUUUUUAGACUCGGACUUCUCUGUUCUUGGUCGUACUUUCAGUGUUUUCCAGGGCUUCUGCUGUAAGGGAGCCAAGGACCGCGCAGCAGUGCCCUGCGGCAGAGCUUAAUAAGCAGCAUCCCGGCUCCUGCAGCGCGUAACCGGGCUUGCACUGCGCACCAAAGAGACUUGGGUUUGCCUUUACUGUCACCAAGGGCCCAGGUCUUACCCCACGUUACCGCAAACAUAGCUCUAUACUGUGGAACGAUCAAUAUUUGCAAACCUUUAAGGAGCCAGCUGCGUCGUCGUCGUGCUAGCUGUUCCAGGCUCUACCUUUCGUCCCGCUAGAGAUGCAGACCUCCUGGAAGGACCCGGCUGAAAUGAGAUGUUAGUCUUGCAUAUAGAGUCAUAGAAUCAUUAUUGAAUGGUUUGGGUCGGAAGGGACCUUUAGAGGUCAUCUAGUCCAAGCCCCCUGCAAUGAGCAGGGACAUCUUCAACUCGAUCAGGUUGCUCAAAGCCCCGUCCAGCCUGAGCUGGAAUGUUUCCAGGGAUGGGGCAUCUACCACCUCUCUGGGCAACCUGUAUAUUAUUUACUUACUUUUACCUGAAGCCUCGUAUAUCUAAAUAAUGUUUUAGAAGUGUAUUGUAUCCCCUAGCACACGUGAAGAAAAGGUGAGUGACUCCCUUCAAAUGUAUUUCUUCAUAAACAUUUAAUUAUAAUUUUUUACCUUGAUAUUUUUUUUAAAAGACCUCUAAUCCAAGUGAGCAGUUCAGAUACCAAAGGCAGCAUUUGUGGACUUUAUAUGAAGUUGUUUCUAGAGGAGAACCACAAGGAUGUGCCACGGGAACCUGUUGACGAUGCCGCGGUUCUAGCUGCAAGGGAGGCAGAUGGCUGACGACUCUCCAUACUGCUUUGCUUCGCACUCCUGCCCACCAGUCUGUCCUGCUGUCUGCCUGUCUCCUCAGCUCCCUGCGCUUCCAGCUUGCCAUUUGCCAUCGGUAUUUCCUUAGUGGACCUCUGUGUAGGCAAGCUGAAGGAAAGCCCGCUGAGCAGAGGCAUCCCUGAGUUGGGUAGCUGGGGCUUUGGAGAUCCUACCGCAUUCCCAUGGACAUUUUCAAAAUUACAUAAUUGAGGAAAGAUGCUGCGCUUCAUAUUUCUCCUCAUUAAAUUAAGAAUUGAAAAAUA